GCCUUCGUGGUGUAACGGUAGCACACUCGACGCAUAUUCGAGAGGUCCAGGUUCGAGUCCCAGCGAGGGCA
rnacentral:tRNA from 1 species